rnacentral:rRNA from 1 species
CCUACGAGUGGCAGCAGUGAGGAAUCUUGGUCAAUGGACGAGAGUCUGCACCAGCCAAGUAGCGUGAAGGAUGACUGCCCUAUGGGUUGUAAACUUCUUUUAUAUGGGAAUAAAAUGUUCCCCGUGUGGGAUUUUUUAUGUACCAUAUGAAUAAGGAUCGGCUAACUCCGUGCCAGCAGCCGCGGUCCUACGGAGGAUCCGAGCGUUAUCCGGAUUUAUUGGGUUUAAAGGGAGCGUAGGUGGAUUGUUAAGUCAGUUGUGAAAGUUUGCGGCUCAACCGUAAAAUUGCAGUUGAUACUGGCAGUCUAGAGUACAGUAGAGGUAGGCGGAAUGCGUGGUGUAGCGGUGAAAUGCUUAGAGAUCACGAAGAACUCCGAUUGCGAAGGCAGCUCACUGGACUGCAACUGACACUGAGGCUCGAAAGUGUGGGUAUCAAACAGGAUUAGAUACCCGAGUAGUC